AUUGCUUGUCGGCCUUUUGGCUAAGAUCAAGUGUAGUAUCUGUUCUUACAGAAAGUAAUCAGAAGUUACUUUCUGGUUUUGUCCCACAGGUUAUGAUUGUUUAACCUAAUAAUU
ensembl:snRNA U2 U2 spliceosomal RNA